UACGUAGGGCGCAAGCGUUUGUCCGGAAUUAUUGGGCGUAAAGAGCUCGUAGGCGGCUUGUCACGUCGAUUGUGAAAGCUCGGGGCUUAACCCCGAGUCUGCAGUCGAUACGGGCUAGCUAGAGUGUGGUAGGGGGAGAUCGGAAUUCCGUGGUGUAGCGGUGAAAUGCGCAGAUAUCAGGAGGAACACCGGUGGCGAAGGCGGAUCUCCUGGGCCAUUACUGACGCUGAGGAGCGAAAGCGUGGGGAGCGAACAGG
rnacentral:rRNA from 1 species